CCUACGGGAGGCAGCAGUGGGGAAUAUUGGAUAAUGGGGGGAACCCUGAUCCAGCCAUGCCGCGUGUGUGAAGAAGGCCCUCGGGUUGUAAAGCACUUUCAGUGAGGAAGAACGCCUGGUGGUUAAUACCCAUCAGGAAAGACAUCACUCACAGAAGAAGCACCGGCUAACUCCGUGCCAGCAGCCGCGGUAAUACGGAGGGUGCGAGCGUUAAUCGGAAUUACUGGGCGUAAAGCGCGCGUAGGUGGCUUGAUAAGCCGGUUGUGAAAGCCCCGGGCUCAACCUGGGAACGGCAUCCGGAACUGUCAAGCUAGAGUGCAGGAGAGGAAGGUAGAAUUCCCGGUGUAGCGGUGAAAUGCGUAGAGAUCGGGAGGAAUACCAGUGGCGAAGGCGGCCUUCUGGACUGACACUGACACUGAGGUGCGAAAGCGUGGGUAGCAAACAGGAUUAGAUACCCCAGUAGUC
rnacentral:rRNA from 1 species